rnacentral:rRNA from 1 species
GACGAACGCUGGCGGCGCGCCUAACACAUGCAAGUCAACCGAGUCAAUCGGAGCUUGCUUUUCUUGACUUAGUGGCGAACGGGGGAGUAACCCUGGAGUCACCUUCCCUGGAGGGGGGGGCUACAAUUGGAAACUACUGCUUAUACCCCAAAAACCCACGGAGUUGCAUGGAGCUGCGGUAAAAGGAGUUAUUCGCUCUAGGAUGAGCUCGCGUCCCAUUAGCUAGUUGGUGAGGUAACGGCCCACCAAGGCGACGAUGGGUAGCCGGACUGAGAGGGUGAGCCGCCACACUGGGACUGAGACACGGCCCAGACUCCUACGGGAGGCAGCAGUGGGGGAUAUUGCACAAUGGGGGAAACCCUGAUGCAGCGACGCCGCGUGAGGGAUGAAGGUUUUAGGGUUGUAAACUCCUGUCGUCAGGGAUGAUAAUGACGGUACCUAACGAGAAAGCACCGGCUAACUACGUG